AAUAGAUACCCAGGUAGUCCACGCCGUAAACGAUGAGUGCUAAGUGUUGGGGGGUUUCCGCUCCUCAGUGCUGCAGCUAACGCAUUAAGCACUCCGCCUGGGGAGUACGGUCGCAAGACUGAAACUCAAAGGAAUUGACGGGGGCCCGCACAAGCGGUGGAGCAUGUGGUUUAAUUCGAAGCAACGCGAAGAACCUUACCAGGUCUUGACAUCCCGGUGACCACUAUGGAGACAUAGUUUCCCCUUCGGGGGCAACGGUGACAGGUGGUGCAUGGUUGUCGUCAGCUCGUGUCGUGAGAUGUUGGGUUAAGUCCCGCAACGAGCGCAACCCUUAUUCUUAGUUGCCAUCAUUCAGUUGGGCACUCUAAGGAGACUGCCGGUGAUAAACCGGAGGAAGGUGGGGAUGACGUCAAAUCAUCAUGCCCCUUAUGACCUGGGCUACACACGUGCUACAAUGGACGGUACAAACGGUUGCCAACCCGUGAGGGGGAGCUAAUCCGAUAAAACCGUUCUCAGUUCGGAUUGUAGGCUGCAACUCGCCUACA
rnacentral:rRNA from 1 species